UACGGAGGGUGCGAGCGUUGUCCGGAAUCACUGGGCGUAAAGGGCGCGUAGGCGGCAGGCCAAGUGUGCGGUGAAAGCCCGAGGCUCAACCUCGGAACUGCCUUUGAUACUGGCGAUCUUGAGUCCGGGAGAGGUGAGUGGAACUCCGAGUGUAGAGGUGAAAUUCGUAGAUAUUCGGAAGAACACCAGUGGCGAAGGCGGCUCACUGGCCCGGUACUGACGCUGAGAUGCGAAAGCGUGGGGAGCAAACAGG
rnacentral:rRNA from 1 species